UACACACCGCCCCGUCACACCAUCGGGACGCGGUUCACCAGAAGCCCGGUCGCCGAAACCCGCAAAGGGACUGGUCCGCCGGACCACGGUGAGAUUCGUGACUGGGGUG
rnacentral:rRNA from 1 species